rnacentral:rRNA from 1 species
GAUGAACGCUGGCGGCGUGCUUAACACAUGCAAGUCGAACGGUAAGGCCCUUCGGGGUACACGAGUGGCGAACGGGUGAGUAACACGUGGGUGAUCUGCCCUGCACUUCGGGAUAAGCCUGGGAAACUGGGUCUAAUACCGGAUAGGACCACUGCCUGCAUGGGUGGUGGUGGAAAGCUUUUGCGGUGUGGGAUGGGCCCGCGGCCUAUCAGCUUGUUGGUGGGGUGAUGGCCUACCAAGGCGACGACGGGUAGCCGGCCUGAGAGGGUGACCGGCCACACUGGGACUGAGAUACGGCCCAGACUCCUACGGAGGCAGCAAUGGGGAAUAUUGCACAAUGGGCGCAAGCCUGAUGCAGCGACGCCGCGUGAGGGAUGACGGCCUUCGGGUUGUAAACCUCUUUCAGCACCGACGAAGCGCAAGUGACGGUAGGUGCAGAAGAAGGACCGGCCAACUACGUGCCAGCAGCCGCCGUAA